UACGUAGGGACCUAGCGUUGUCCGGAAUCAUUGGGCGUAAAGCGCGCGUAGGCGGCCCGGUAAGUCCGUUGUAAAAGUCGCAGGCUCAACCUUCGAAAGCCGAUGGAUACUGCCGGGCUAGAGUACGGAAGAGGCGAGUAGAAUUCCUGGUGUAGCGGUGGAAUGCGCAGAUAUCAGGAGGAACACCGAUGGCGAAGGCAGAUCUCUGGGCCGUAACUGACGCUGAGGAGCGAAAGCGUGGGGAGCGAACAGG
rnacentral:rRNA from 1 species